AGGCUUUUCUUUUUUCUUUUGGCUCGACAGCUUCAUUUCUCGUCGGUGCUCCCGUCCCAACCACCCCCCUUGCCUCAGUCAGUCAGGCCGUGGUCGCUCUGGCUGCGCCGCCUCCGCGAGCUCGGCGCCGGCUCCGUCCCUGCUACACCCGUGCGCCGUCCCCCCAUCCCUGCCGUCGUUGUCCCUGCUGUUGUGCUUGACAUGGACAGACCCCUUUUCUUUCCCUUUGCUGUUAUGUUUACCACUGAGUCCUCGAGAGGACAGGGCCGCAGGGGGAGACACGAUUUCGCUCGUCGGCGGCGGAUUCUGUUUCUGACGUCCUCCGGUGAGUCCCUGGCGAUUCUACUGCGGCGAUGAGUGGUGAUUUUGUGCUUCGAUUGCUCCCCCUUUUGGCUGUUGAUUUUUUGCUUGCAGCCUGCACAUGCCCGUGGAUUCGGAGCUGUAGAGGAAGGUAACUGGUUGGAUCUGCUCAUGGGGGAAGGAUCCCACAGGGCAGCAGCUUUUUGUGGAGGUUAAUCAGUGAAGGGCAGAGGGAUUUUGGGGAAGCUUCGGUGCUAGGAGAAAAGGAGAGGUACCAUCGGGUGGUGUGAUAGCCCAAUAAGUUGCUCGUUUCUCUGUCCCUUCCGGUAAGUUGUUUACUUCCGUUUUAUGUGGCUGAUUUUUCUCCCCUUAUUCUUCCGGGUGGUAGAGGUGAGAGGGCUUCGAUCCGUGUCGAUGGUGAGGUCUGCUCGCCCCUUCUGGUGAGUCCUUCAUUUCCUCUGUCCCGGUUAAAUGGUUGUUCUAGUUUGCUUCCUCGAGUGAGACUCUAGCGAUUACUGUGAUUGUGGUGGAUGAGACAGACCCGCUAGUUGUAGUGUUUUAUUCGGAAGAUUUUUUGUGUCAUUCCCCCGGUGGCGUCUUGGUGAUUUUGGCUGAUGGGGUGACUGAUUCGGUGGUUUGUGCUGUUGUUUUUGAUGUAGUAGUAGUUGCGAUUCGGACUCAUGUUUGAGCUGCUUUUUAUUCGGUUCAUGUAUUAUGGAUUGAUGAUGUGACAUUAUGGGUUUAUGAUGUCAUGUGGUUCUUGUCCUGGAUAUGCAAUGGUUACACCCACUGGCCACUGAAAGUAAUUUACCUUUUUGCCCAUUUUGAACUAAUCUAGCAAAUCAAUUUUAUAGGCAUUUUUUGGUUGUAGUGGUACAGCUAGUGCCAAUUUGGUGUGUUUUGGUAAUUACUCGCCUCGUUGGUGGCGGCGGAGUUUUUCUCGGCGGCUAUCCAGUGAGCUUCCCCCUCCUUUCUGCUGCUCUCUAAUGGCAAGUGUGGUUCGCCAACACGUGUUUCCCUGCUGAUUUUUUUGCUUCCUGAGGCAAACACAGGAGAGGGCAAGGCAUUUUUGUAUCUGUGCUUGUUGGUGGCAAGGUUGGUCAUGCGGCCUGGUGAGUUUCUCCGGCCGUAAUGGUUGCUCCCUCACGGUGAAUCCCUUCCCCUAAUGCCACUGAUUUUUGCUCUGUUUAUUUUCGGGUCGAUGUGUCGAGGCGAAGGCAGCAAAGCAGCAGAAUCAUUAUGCCCUGCACAGAGUUUCAAAACCAAAUAAAAUGAAUCAUUAUAGACGCAACCAUUAUUUUGCAGCAAGGGAGGCAGUGUGUAUGUUUUGGGAUCUAACAAGGGUGUGGUUUUGUGUUUAUGUAUGUCUUUAUAUAUACACAUACUCAAGACACCAGAUUAGGACUGGAUGAUGAACUAAAUAGAGUUGCUUUUUUUUUUAGCUUGAACAGAUCAUGUGUACUGGGCUCUAUCUGGUCGGCCAUGGCGAGGUGAACACUGUACAGGGGGAGGCCCAUUUGCAUCUGUCCUCGUCGGCGGCUAGGGGGUUUCGCAGGUCCGUGCGAUACUUCGGAUGAUGCUCCACCUCAAAACAUCAUUGCAUGGUUAAAGGUUGUAUCUGCUUUCUGCAAAAUUAGUUUGUCGCGCCAGUUCCCGGCGAGUUCUUCGUCCGUGCACGGAGUGGUUGUUCAAAGUUUUACUAGCUUUUUAUCCAGUGAUUACAGUUUCAGUUGCACUGCACUUAUUCAGUAAUCCCAAUCUUUCUAAUAGAUGCAAUUGAUAUUUAAAGAUCUAUUUUUGUCUAGACUCCCUAGUCUGAACUUAUGUUUCUUUGGCUUCACAAUAUGGGACACCUAAGUUGCAAUUUAGUUUUCAUAUUUUCAAAUUGCACUUCCUGUAUUUUGAUUCAAUUUGCACCACUUUUAGAAUUUAAUUGCACUCCUUCCAUUGCUGCAAUUCCAUUUUUUUCAAAUUGUAAUUGUUCUAGCUAUUUUUGCUUGUUUUGUCAUUAUGGAUUCUUUUAUCCAAAUUACACUUAAAUUUAGACUCAAUCGCAUUACUUCUACUGUUGCAAUUGCAGCUUUUGAAAUUGCAAUUUCUAAUUUUUGUUCCUUUUUGCUUUCUUGUCUAGAUUUUGAUCCAAUUUGCACUACUUUUAGAAUUUAAUUGCACUCCUUCCAUUGCUGCAAUUCCCUUUUUUCAGAUUGUAAUUGUUGUAGCUAUUUUUGCCUGUUUUGUCAUUAUGGAUUCUUUUAUCCAAAUUGCACUUAAUUUUAGGCUCAAUCGCAUUACUUCUACUAUUGCAAUUGCAGUUUCCAGUUUACGUUGUGCAGCCCGACGGCAACAUCAUACCCCUCGUUGUCAUCCCACAGCAAAGCUCAGCUUCCCUGAGUCCCCGGUUGAGUGCUUCCCUAAAAAAUCAGUGCACAUUUGGGUACAUAUUUUAUCUGGCACCAGAAUAUGCUGAGAGUGGACAAAUAACAGAGAAGGCGGAUGUCUACAGUUUUGGGGUUGUGUUAGUAUUACCUGACCAAAGGGCCAGCAGUUAGUCUAGUGUGUUUCCCUUACUGUAGUUUAUUCAAAGAGCAUGAUUCUGGUCAUGAUGUCUGGUUUCUAUUAAACGAGCAGGUGACUGUUUUUAUUUGUAUUUUCAGGCGACUGUUUUUUACUCA